AGUGAACGCUGGCGGCGUGCUUAACACAUGCAAGUCGAACGAGAACGGAUUAUAGCUUGCUAUAAUUGUCAGCUAAGUGGCGCACGGGUGAGUAAUGUAUAGGUAAUAUGCCUCUUACUAAGGGAUAACAAAUGGAAACGUUUGCUAAUACCUUAUACUCCUUAUUAACAGAAGUUAAUAAGGAAAAGAUUUAUUGGUAAGAGAUUAGCCUGUAUUGUAUCAGUUAGUUGGUGGGGUAAUGGCUUACCAAGACUAUGACACAUAACUGGUUUGAGAGGAUGAUCAGUCACACUGGAACUGAGACACGGUCCAGACUCCUACGGGAGGCAGCAGUGGGGAAUAUUGCACAAUGGACGAAAGUCUGAUGCAGCAACGCCGCGUGAGGAUGACACAUUUCGGUGCGUAAACUCCUUUUAUAUGAGAAGAUAAUGACGGUAUUAUAUGAAUAAGCACCGGCUAACUCCGUGCCAGCAGCCGCGGUAACAC
rnacentral:rRNA from 1 species